CACAAACCGGCGUGUUUCUCCCCCCCAUGUGUGAGUCACGAAGCGUCACUCGACACCAGGCAGGAUGUCACCAGCCUUGCAGAGAAACAGAAUGAGACGACGGUGGACUUCCGGAAAACAUCCCCCACUUCCCUCCUCUCACCAUCGUCAGCAACACUUUCUUACUGCAGAGCCCUUCCUGUUCGUGAAACCCCGUCUCUCCUCCAUCUCCUACGCCAAACGGACGAUCUGCAAUUGAGCGGUUAGCUGACCAUGGCUAACGACUGACAGCAAACAUCUUUCCAUCCAGACCACAAAGCAAUGGCUCUGCUACAAAUCACACAGCGUAAUCCUGGUUUGACAGAAGACACACAACACCUUGCAUGGCACCGUGCCAUAAUGAAAUGAGUGCAGAGGCCCAGAACAGGAGACGUAACUCCAAACAAGUACUGAACCGGGAAUCAGCAAAGACAUAAUAUGUUCUACAGUCAAAAAUUCUCGACAAAACCCACGGCUCCACAAUAAAUUGUCAGUAUUUAUUGAUCGGUUUUCAAUUGGAUAAAAUCCUUCAAAAUGUAGGAAUACGUGUAUAUUGCUUGUUUUCUACACAUUUAUUUUUACCUGGGUCUUCUGUUAUAUCUGAGUCAUGACACUAAACUGAGU